ACGUGGCUGAAACGAGUCUUUCUCCACUAUUCUGAAGUGAGGCUGCGGGCGGGGGACAGUGUAUUAAGGAUGUUAUUUAAGUUUGGUUUUCUUCUCUCAUUCUCCCGAGUAGCAGGAGGAAGUUGUAUUUUCCCAAAUUAUCCCUGACUGGGAAUUAUGACCUGGACAAGCUGGUGCUCUCACCCAGCGGCCUGGAUAUGUUUGGUUACGGCAUAGGCCUCUCGGGAAUCUCUGUGCAAACCAUCCCCAUAAAGGUCUCUAAGGCAGUGCACAGGGUGGAGCUGACCAUGGAUGAGGAAGGGACAGAUAAGGAAAACGUCGCCAGCUUCAGGUACUUUCCCAAGCACCAGAUCCCGGCCGUUCACUUCAACAAGCCCUUCCUGCUGCUCGUGUAUCAGGAAGGCAGCCACAACAUUCUCUUCAUGGGGAAAGUGAUAAAUCCCAAUGCAUCCUAGAGUCAGGUGACAGGAAGGCCUGCCUGCUCCUCCUCCCACCCAGCCCCCGUCUUCCCAGUGGCUCCAAGAGAAAAUGGAAAACCAGGACCGGCGUUCAUUGGCACAAACGCACGACUAUGGUUCCAUCUUCUGGGUCUUUGCACAAAUCCCCCUGAGUGAUUGUCCUCAUUUCACAGACUAGCAAAUCAAGGUCCAGGGCACAACUUUGCACACUCCAAGGCCAAAUUCCCAGGCCCAACACCCACCUUCCUGUGAGGAUCCUAGACCUGGUCCCUCUCCUGGCCUCUCCCUAGCUUCAUUUCCUCUGCUGAUUACUGGACUUUUCCCGCUCUUCCGAUUUCCUCCAACCCUCACCACCUGGAGUACAGUAAAGCUGUGUUUCUCUGUUGAAUUGGUUAAAUAAACCGGUAAAUGACAACGU